AUUGCACGCUGGCGGCAGGCCUAACACAUGCAAGUCGAACGAGUGGCGGACGGGUGAGUAAUGCCUGGGAAACUGCCUGAUGGAGGGGGAUAACUACUGGAAACGGUAGCUAAUACCGCAUACCAUCAGAUUUGCCCAGAUGGGAUUAGAGUGUUGGUGGGGUAACGGCUCACAAAGGCGACGAUCCCUACCUGGUUUGAGAGGAUGACCGCCCACACGUGAACUGAGACACGGUCCGGACUCCUACGGGAGGCGGCAGUGGGGAAUUUUGCCCAAUGGGCGAAAGCCUGAUACAGCCAUGCCGCGUGUAUGAAGAGGGCCUUCGGGUUGUAAGUUACUUUCAGCGGGGAGGCGUUACCCGCAGAAGAAGCACCGGCUAACUCCGUGCCAGCAGCCGCGGUAAUAC
rnacentral:rRNA from 1 species